UGCAGUCCCAGCCGCCUUUCCGGAAUGCC
rnacentral:piRNA from 1 species